AUUGAACGCUGGCGGCAUGCUUUACACAUGCAAGUCGAACGGUAACAGGCCUUCGGGUGCUGACGAGUGGCGAACGGGUGAGUAAUGCAUCGGAACGUGCCCAGAGGUGGGGGAUAACGCAGCGAAAGCUGUGCUAAUACCGCAUGUGAUCUGAGGAUGAAAGCGGGGGACCAGGCAGCAAUGUUUGGCCUCGCGCCUUUGGAGCGGCCGAUGUCAGAUUAGGUAGUUGGUGGGGUAAAGGCCUACCAAGCCGACGAUCUGUAGCUGGUCUGAGAGGACGACCAGCCACACUGGGACUGAGACACGGCCCAGACUCCUACGGGAGGCAGCAGUGGGGAAUUUUGAACAAUGGGCGCAAGCCUGAUCCAGCAAUGCCGCGUGCGGGAAGAAGGCCUUCGGGUUGUAAACCGCUUUUGUACGGAACGAAAAGGCUCUGGCUAAUACCUGGGGCUGAUGACGGUACCGUAAGAAUAAGCACCGGCUAACUACGUG
rnacentral:rRNA from 1 species